UCAAAUUCCACCUAAAUCCCCUCCAAUCCUCUUCAAUCCCCUCCUGGUACCUGGUAGGGAUUAACCGAACAAGGCCUUAGCGAACAGGCCAACAGGGUAAAAAAAACCUUCCACCACAAACCAGACCCUAACUCUAGCUCCAGCCCCGUCCGCCCUCGUCUCUCGUGACCCUCCAGCCUCUCCCGCCGCCAGCCUCCAUCCUUCCCUUCCCUCACCAGAUCUCCCGUCUGGAUUUUCGUGGUUCGAUGGAUUCCCCGAUUACUCGCCGUCGCUGCUUACUCUGUUGUGGUUUUCAAGGGAGGAGUUCGUGGACAGCUUGGAGCAGCCAAAAUUGGACACUCUAGGAUUCCUCUGUCCGUCCAUGGCCGUUGAGCUGCAUUGCUUCCGACGGCGUUGCCAGUGCCCCGUCGCCAUCGACCCCGAGGCCACCCCUGUUCCCGACGGCGCUCCUCUCUGCCUUGCUCCCUUAUACAUGAAGGCUGCUUGCCGGUGUCGUCUUUCGCCUGUACUGGUCGGCGGCAUCUGCUUCUCCGGCACCAAGAAGUCCAUGUCCCCUUGGUUCAGCACGAGAUCUCUAGUCCGGCAGCCUCUACUAGACACCACGGGUAACUAAUCCAGUUCCCUAAUCUUUUUUUCCAUGGACGCAUGAUUCAGAGUGUACUCCUUGCUGCAGGUGCUUUUGGAUGAGGGACACACCCACGUUCAGUAGUCUAAAUAGGUAAGCAGUCCAAAAUACAGUACACAAUACUGACCAGGAAACUGAACAGGUGAUGUUGGUUCAAUCUUUCUUUCCGGCACACUUACAUGGAGCGUACUCCUUGCUGCAGGUGCUUUUGGACGAGGGACACACCCACGUACAAUAGGUAAGCAGGUUAAUUGCUUCCUUACAUAAACACACAUACAUGCACUUGACGAUGGUUGAUUUAAUCUGGGUGGAUGUGCACGAGGUAGCUCACUGAGUUGAUCACCGGUGGCUCUCUCUCCCAAUUGCUACCUCUCUAAGCCUUGGUGUUGUGUCCCUGCAACUAAAUAUCAUUUCUCCUCCAUAGGUUUGAUUGCAUCUCCAAAAUAAAAUAUUGAUCAGGUGCAUGUUCAGGAGGUCGGCGUACACACAUAUUUAGGCCAAUCGAGCGUGCCAGAAGAAAUCAAUCUUUUUACCUGCAUGUAAGUACGUACUAGCUAGCUUAUCUAGCCGCAAUCUAUUUUUUUGCAUUGUAGAUAGCCUAAUCUUCAGUAUAAUUUUACGAUGAUAUAUAUUUAUACUCAGCUCAUCUAUCAUGUAAGUUACAUGGUAUAAAUUGGACUCUUUUACACAAACAAUCUCCCACGUUAACUAAACAUAUAUACAUUUUUUUGGAACCUAAUUUAAAGGAAAGUAAUUGUCUUAAUGUGGAAGUUUCACCAUUUAAUUGUCUUAGUGUAGUUAUAUGGUGCAUGAAGUUGUUUUAGCUACAAUUUUAGUUGAGGUAUACCUAUUUUUAGGGACUGUCUAUUUCGCAUUUGACUGUUUUUCUAUUCGACAACAUUCAAAUUUCCCGGCAAAUAAACAGAUGCCACAUGUAUGUCCAGCCCUUCCCCGCGGCAACUGUAUGUUCUGUAUUUCUAAAAAAAUGGAUCGGGUUAAAUUCUGACACGGUUUCAACUGAACCUGGAGUCCUGGAUCACAUCAACCAGCUGCCCAUCAGCUUGCAAUCCACGCAAGGGCCAAACCCAUUGAAAAUCAGAAAAUAUGCACUAGUAGUGGUAGCAUUAAAACAAUAAAAGAAUGACAGAUAUUUAGUGCUAAACUUCCAACAAAAACAAGGCUGCAAGUACCCUAAACUGGUGAACAUACACUGUAAAUUACCAAGAAUUACAGUGCAAGAGUCCAAGAAUUACAAUGUAAAUCCCCUAGAAAUUACAGUCCACAUAUAGAGGAAAUGGCACUGUAAUUACAGGUCACUAUCACUGUAAAAAACUAAGAAUUACAGUGUAAAAAAUCCCCUAGAAAUUACACUUUACAUAUAAUGAAAUUUUCCAAAAACUUAUAGUGUAAGUAACCAAGAUUUACAGUGUAAAUCCCCUAGAAAAUAGUGUAAAUCCCCUAGAAAAUACAGAUUACAUAUACAGUAAUUACACUACAAGUACCCACUGAUUACGAUAGUAAAACUGAUAAUCUUAUGCUGAAUUAGAGUUUAAGUAACCAAGAUUUAUAAUGUCAAUUCCCUAGAAAAUACAGAUUACGUACAUACUAAUUGUAUUGCAAGUACCGAGUGAUUUACACUAGUAAAACUGAUGAGUUUAUGCUGAAUUACAGUGUAUGUGACCAAGAUUUAAGAUUUGCAGUGUAAAUCCCCUAGAAAAUACACAUGUGCACACAUAUUUAUCUGGCUUAAUUUAGAUGCUAUUUUAUUCACACACAUGUGCACAAGUAACAGAUGUCAAUCAAUGCUAAAUCUGCCAUUUCAUUAGUUUUUUUUUGAAAGCACGCCAUUUCAUAAGGCUCUGCAAUGGUGCGCUCACAUGUCCAUUAAGAUGGACUAUUAGGGACUGUGGGAUCCAUCCCAAAGUUUGUAAUUAUGAAUGAUAUGUAACAUGAGCAUCGCAGGGCAUGUAGUCAAUUUAGCAAUAUUUAUCUACCGCCAUUAAAUAUAAAAGUUUGCACAGAGUGCAUUUGAUGACUCCGUAUCAAAUAUAUUCUAACUUGAGUACGGAGACUACUAGAUAUAUUGGUUAGCUGGGGCUGAAGCAUUACACAAUUUUAAUACCAUGAAAUAGAAUUGGUUCUAUAUCUAAUACAAGAAAUAGUUGUUGUUCCAACAUACAUUUAGUUAUUAUACUAAAUAAAUAUGUAUAUGAGAAAAAAAUGCUAAUUAGGCGGCAAAACUCAUACUGUUUUGGUAUACUCCUAAUUUGGACAUGCUCCAUACUUCUUUUUCAGAUACCAUCAUUUUCUUCUUGCAGGCGGCAAUGGCAGGAGCAUAUUGUGCAGAGGAAGAGGAUGAACCUUAAUGUGUUGAACCUUAUAUACUAGAACCUUGCAGGUGUUUUUGCAGAUGUAUUCUAUUGUGCACGUGUAAAAUUAUUCUGAUGUGCUCUUGUUAGGCGUUGAACCUUAAUGCGUGGAGUCGGUGGAUGAUGUAUUGUAUUUGAUGUGAUAUGCUACUGAAAUGAAAUAUACAUUUUAUUUGCAAUCUUUUAUUCUGUUGUACUUA
rnacentral:lncRNA from 1 species